CGCCUAAUUCCCCACCGAUUUUUUAAAUGAUUUUCCCCAAAUCGCAGCGGGCUUCCACCGCCGAACGCCUAGGCGGCCGCCUUGAGCGUUUUUUAGAAAACUGAUAUAAAGUCAAGACCCUAGCGCUACUCCCUCUCUCCCAAAGUCAAGAUCUCCCAAACCCAAUUUUACAUGCAUCAACGGGCCCUUUCUCUUGGGUGGAGUCGAUGGCAACCCCCCUUCUUAAUCCUUUCUUCUUUUUCCUUAACCUCCAUCUUCCUUUUAUUUUUCUUUGGCCCUAGAUUUCUAGUAGUUUUGCUUUUAAUUUGUCUCAUUUUUCUUGAUUUUUUUGUCUCAAUUUCCUUGAGUUUUGUCUCAAUUAUUGGCAAACCUUGUCACAAAUCAAAGUUCCAUGCCUUUUUCUUUCCAAAUUGUUGUUCCUAGCCACGAGCUAUUGCCCACUUGGUUCCGCUAUUCGGCUUCUUGAAUUCCUCCUCCAGGGACUUCGGUUGGAGCCGUGAUUUGGGUUUCAGUGGCUACUAAAGUGCAAUUUGCACCAUUUUGUAGGAUUAUGGAGCAUUUUUUUAGUGCAAGUGGCUUGUCCAUCCUUAUUUUCUGUUCAUCCUUUUGGUUCGUUAGCUCUUCUUCUUGCCUUCUUGGUUUUGGCAACUUGGCGAUGUCAGUGUGGCUAUUUUGGUGGAGUAGACUGGUUCUCGUUUCCCAUUCUAGGGUUUUUGACUUGGCAAUGUUAUGAGCUCACUUUUGGGGCUUAUUUUCUUAUUUUACUUUUGUAAUGAGAUGUACUCUUACUUUAGUGUUGUGGAUUGUUUUCGGACUUGUCUCACUUUUUAUUAGUGUGUUUUAUUUUUAAUGAAAUUAGUUGGUGGACAAAAUAUAUACAUAAAUAUUUGUGAUGGGCCAUCAUCAAGAUUAAUGUUAGGGUAAUGCUAAGGAAACUAAAUUUGUAAACAAAAUUUUAAAAACUAAAGGACAUGGAAGUUGAUGAUUAGUUUAUUACUUAAGCAUUGAUAAACGUGUUCAUUCAUAUUGGUGACACAUCAUUUAGUUUGCAAAUUUAGUCUCCAAAUUUAGUCUCCCUAGCAUUACCCUGGAUGUAACAUCCCACAUCGCCCAAGGGAGUGAUCGUGUAAACCUUAUAGUCGUGUAGGCUUGGCAAACGGGUCGUGUAUGUCGUGUUCGUGUCGUUUUUGUGUAACACAUGUUAUCUUAACGGGUCGUGUCGUGUCACACCUGUUAUCUUAACGGGUCAUUAACAGGUCAAGUCACUUUACCCAACCCGACCCGUUAAGAAAAAUAUAAAUUUUCUUAAAUUUGCACAUACCACACAUUACCAUAUAAAUAUUACUUCAAAACAUUAAAACAUAUUUGUCAUUUAAGUACUACAUCUACACUCGAAAAUAAGAGCCUAAUAAAAAAACAAGUUUGACGGUUGUGAUCUCGAAGCAUAUACAAACAAGUUUGUGAUUUUUGGCAUAUGUGAUUUCAAAGCAUAUACAAACAAGUUUGACCGUUGGAUCGUUGAAAUUAGUUUCAUAGAAUUCGUAUCCCAUCAAAACGAUAGAUUCAUUAACACUUAAAGUUUAUUUAUACUUUCAUUAAGUAUAACAUAAGAUUUUGUGGUAUCCAUUUGUGUAAAUAUUUUAAAUUGACGAUCAAAUUCAUUCAUUGUAUUCGUAUAGGGUCAAGGAGUGUAGUUGUAAAAAAAUCAUCAAAAUUGGAGUUAAAAUAACCGUUAAAUCGUGAUUUUUUGUUUUAUAACCGUCGAAAAGUUUUGUCUAAUUACUUGAUCUCUGAAUGUUUGUUUUUUGUGAUUUUUGGCAUAUGCGAUCUCGAAGCAUAUACAAACAAGUUUGACGGUUGGAUUGUUAAAAUUAGUUUAAUAGAAUUCGUAUCCCAUCAAAACGGUAGAUUCACUAACACUUGAGUUUAUUUAUACUUUCAUUAAGUAUAACAUAAGAUUUUGUGGUAUCCACUUGUGUAAAUAUUAUAAAUUGACGAUCAAAUUUAUUCAUUGUAUUCGUAUAGGGUCAAUGAGUGUAGUUGUAAAAAAUCAUCAAAAUCGGAGUUAAAAUAACAAUUAAAUCGUGAUUUUUUGUUUUAUAACCGUCGAAAAGUUUUGUCUAAUUACUUGAUCUCUGAAUGUUUGUUUUUGUGAUUUUUGGCGUAUACGAUCUCGAAGCAUAUACAAACAAGUUUGACGGUUGGAUCGUUGAAAUUAGUUUCAUAGAAUUCGUAUCCCAUCAAACCAAUAGAUUCACUAACACUUAGAGUUUAUUUAUACUUUUAUUAAGUAUAACAUAAGAUUUUGUGGUAUCCACUUGUGUAAAUAUUAUAAAUUGACGAUCAAAUUCAUUCAAGUUGUAAAAAACCAUCACAAUCGGAGUUAAAAUAACCAUUAAAUCGUGAUUUUUUGUUUUAUAACCAUCGAAAAGUUUUGUCUCAUUACUUGAUCUCUAAAUGUUUGUUUUUUGUGAUUUUUGAUAUAUGCGAUCUCGAAGCAUAUACAAACAAGUUUGACGGUUGGAUCAUGAAUUCGUAUCCCAUCAAAACGAUAAAUUCACUAACACUUAGAGUUUAUUUAUACUUUCAUUAAGUAUAACAUAAGAUUUUGUGGCAUCCACUAGUGUAAAUAUUUUAAAUUGAAAAUCGAAUUCAUUCAUUGUAUUCAUAUAGGGUCAAUGAGUGUAGUUGUAAAAAAUCAUCAAAAUCGGAGUUAAAAUAACCGUUAAAUCGUGAUUUUUUGUUUUAUAACCGUCGAAAAGUUUUGUCUCAUUACUUGAUCUCUGAAUGUUUGUUUUUUGUGAUUUUUGGCGUAUGCGGUCUCGAAACAUAUAGAAACAAGUUUGACGGUUGGAUCGUUGAAAUUAGUUUCAUAGAAUUCGUAUCCCAUCAAAACGAUAGAUUCACUAACACUUAGAGUUUAUUUAUACUUUCAUUAAGUAUAAUAUAAGAUUUUGUAGUAUCCACUAGUGUAAAUAUUUUAAAUUGAAAAUCGAAUUCAUUCAUUGUAUUCAUACAGGGUCAAGGAUUGUAGUUGUAAAAAAUCAUCAAAAUCGGAGUUAAAAUAACAAUUAAAUCGUGAUUUUUUGUUUUAUAACCGUCGAAAAGUUUUGUCUCAUUACUUGAUCUCUGAAUGUUUGUUUUUUGUGAUUUUUGGCGUAUGCGAUCUCGAAGCAUAUACAAACAAGUUUGACGGUUGGAUCGUUGAAAUUAGUUUCAUAGAAUUCGUGUCCCAUCAAAACGAUAUUCACUAACACUUAGAGUUUAUUUAUACUUUCAUUAAGUUUAAUAUACGAUUUUGUGGUAUCCACUAGUGUAAAUAUUUUAAAUUGAAAAUCAAAUUCAUUCAUUGUAUUCAUAUAGGGUCAAGGAGUGUAGUUGUAAAAAAUCAUCAAAAUCGGAGUUAAAAUAACCGUUAAAUCGUGAUUUUUUGUUUUAUAAACGUAAAAAAGUUUUGCCUCAUUACUUGAUCUCUGAAUGUUUUUUUUUUGUUAUUUUUGACUUAUGCGAUCUCGAAGCAUAUACAAACAAGUUUGACGGAUGGAUCGUUGAAAUUAGUUUCAUAGAAUUCAUAUCCCAUCAAAACGAUAGAUUCACUAACACUUAGAGUUUAUUUAUACUUUCACUAAGUAUAACAUAAGAUUUUGUGGUAUCCACUAGUGUAAAUAUUUUAAAUUGAAAAUCGAAUUAAUUCAUUGUAUUCAUAUAGGGUCAAUGAGUGUAGUUGUAAAAAAUCAUCAAAAUCGGAGUUAAAAUAACCGUUAAAUCGUGAUUUUUUGUUUUAUAACCGUCGAAAUUUUUUAUCUCAUUACUUGAUCUCUGAAUGUUUGUUUUUUAUGAUUUUUAGCAUAUGCGAUCUCGAAGCAUAUACAAACAAGUUUGACGGUUGGAUCGUUGAAAUUAGUUUCAUAGAAUUCGUAUCCCAUCAAAACGAUAGAUUCACUAACACUUAGAGUUUAUUUAUACUUUCAUUAAGUAUAACAUAAGAUUUUGUGGUAUCUGUAGACAUCGAAAUUUCGUAAAUAAAUGUUGACCGGUAAAUCAAAGUGUCAACGCUCAUGUAUUACAUAAAUUUUACACGUAGCGUGUGAUUCAACGAAAAUUGAAAUGAGUUGGAAAAGUCAUCAAAUAGGACACGUGUCAACACCUGGCAGAAACGACUUAUUUCAUCUGGAAUAUUAUAUUCAAAAUUAGGCCUUGGAAAUUUCUAUAAAUACAAGCCUAUUUCAUUCAUUGAAGAAAACCAAAAUCAUUAGGCAAAACUCUUGAAGCUCUGAAGCUCUGAAACUCCGAAGCUCUCAAGCAUCCAGGUUCCCGAAGAAUCAAGAAAGCGUUCUUCGUUCAUCGUUCUUCCAAGAUCAAGCCCGACGGCCCUUGGAUCAACAAUCGUCCACCUUCAAGAUCAAGCCCCGACGGCCCUUGAAGAAAGUGUUCUUCGUUCUUCGUUCUUCCAAGAUCAAGCCCCGACGGCCCUUGGAUCAACCAUCCACCAAUUCAAGAUCAAGCCCCGACGGCCCUUUGAAGAAAGCACCAUCGUUCAUCAUCCGUUCAUCCAAGAUCAAGCCCCAACGGCCCAUUUGGAUCAACAACGUCGACAAAUCCACACAUCCAACCGUUCUUCAAGAUCAAGCCCAAAAGCCCUUGAAGAUCUGUUCAUCACUGUUCUUCAAGAUCAAGCCCAAAAAGCCCUUGGAGAUCCGUUUGUCACUGUUCUUCAAAGAUCAAGCCCAAAAGCCCCUUUGAAGAUCCACUCAAAUCCACCUUCAAAGAUCAAGCCCACGGCCCUUUGAAGAAACUUCCAACAGUUCAUCCAAGAUCAAGCACGGCCCUUGGAUCAACGAAACACCCACCAAUCAACACCUUACGGAGAUCGAAUCAGAGGAUCAAAUAGAAGAGAGAUUGUAACCCAAAAUCAUCAAAUACAUAAUAUUUGUUUGUGCACGUCGUUCUUGUCUCUUUCGUUUCAGGAAUUUUCCGUGUUCACAAAUUGGCACGCCCGGUGGGAUCAUCUCUACCUCUCAUCUCUUUCUCCGUUCAAGGAAUCCAAGCACACCUCAAAGUCAAUGGCAUCAAGCAAGGGACAAGCCGUUCUUGCAACCACUGAGGGAAGGAUCCUAAGCACUUCUGCCGCAAACGGACAAUCCAUUGGCGCCACAACCGCUCCUCAACAUGCCACUUCAAAAUUGGUGCCGCUAAAAGAGCAAGGGGAGCAUCCAAGGUGUGAGUAUGUCAUCAACCUGACCUCGCUGGAGGCACCAAAGCAUGAUGUUGGGGCACACAAGAUGACAUCCCAAAGCAGCCAACGACGUUCUUCAUCAGCAUCCUGGAUGUCUAAAGGAAAGUCACGUCUAUUGGUCGCACAAGUCAUGACUAUCGGCGUUACCUCCGUUGAAGAACAACUGGCUCAGAUGAAUGAAGCAAUCGCAAGGCUAACCCGAACUGUGGAAGAAAAAGACUUGCAAAUCGCUGCACUCGUCAGCCGAUUGGAGCCACAGGACGACGAGAACCCUAACCCAGAAGAUGAGCCUCAGGUGGAAAAACGAUGCGAAGCCCGAGCCAGACCAAGCAGCGGCACUCAUAGGAUCUCUUUCUAUCCAGCAGCUGCAAGAGAUGAUCACCAACACCAUCAAGGCACAGUACGAAGGGAGCUCAAAUACCUCCGGGUUGUACUCAAAGCCGUAUUCAAAGAAGAUCGACGCCCUAAGGAUGCCAAGGGGUUAUCAACCACCAAAGUUCAUGCAGUUUGAUGGAAAAGGAAACCCAAAGCAGCACGUUGCACAUUUCGUCGAAACUUGCAACAACGCGGGGACAGAGGGAGGCUACCUCGCCAAGCAGUUUGUGCGCUCGCUGAAAGGAAAUGCCUUUGAGUGGUACACGGACCUAGAGCCCGAGUCCAUCAACAGCUGGGAGCAAUUAGAGCGGGAAUUCCUCAACCGCUUCUACAGCACCCGCCGCACUGUGAGCAUGCUAGAACUAACGAGCACAAAGCAGUGGAAGGACGAGCCAGUCAUUGACUACAUCAACAGAUGGCGCACUCUAAGCCUCGACUGUAAAGACAGGCUCUCGGAAACCUCUUCAAUCGAGAUGUGCAUCCAAGGCAUGCAAUGGGGUUUGCAAUACAUCCUUCAAGGCAUUAAACCGCGGACCUUCGAGGAAUUGGCCACUCGCGCCCAUGACAUGGAGUUGAGCAUCGCCCAUCAUGGGAAGAAAGAACCGAUCGCCGACUACAAGAACGACAAAGUUCUUGGGACAAAGGUGGAAAAGGUUACAUGGAAACCCACCAAGGAAGCGAUGACGGUCAACACAGCUCCCGUCAAAAUCUCCACACGAGGCAAGGCGAUUCAAGCCGAAGGCUUUCGUGAUCAAGAGAUGCGUAGACGCACUUUGAAGGAGCUUGAGGAGAAAACUUAUCCAUUCCCCGACUCUGAUGUGGUUGCCAUGUUAGAAGACUUGCUGGAAAAGAAGGUGAUCGGCUUGCCUGAGUGCAGACGGCCAGAAGAGAUGAAUCGUACCGACAGUCCAAGAUACUGUAAAUUCCACCGCUUCAUCAGUCAUCCGACAGAAAAGUGCUUCGUGCUGAAAGAUCUCAUCAUGAAGCUGGCUCAGAAAGGAAUCAUCGAGCUAGAUCUUGACGAUGUGGUGAAGUCAAACUAUACCACUUUCACUUCUGGCUCUUCAGACUCAAAGUUUUCACCUCAACCGCUGGGGGCAUCCUCCAAGACAAGCAAAGUUGAAGGAUGGACUCAAGUCACUCCUAAGAAAUUGCACAAGAAGCAUACGUCUCAUCCACAUGUCGGCCAAUCGGAAAGGGGGCAAAGCAGCUCUUGUCAACCUUCAAAGCAACAUGAACGUGUUGAAGAUGAUGAAAUUUCGACACAUAGAUCGUCCAUCCCCAUCACGAUGCGCGAUUUCUUGCCCGAAGACUUCUUCAAUCACGUGGUCAAAGCUCCUUGCUAUGAAAAUUGUGAGGAACGCCUCUCCCGGAUUGCUUGACAAAAUUCACUAAGCUCCUUGUCCGCACGAGCCUAAACUGUAGGACACGAGGCUCCUCGCCUGCACGAGCCUAAACUGCAUGGCACAAUGCUCCUGGUCUGCACGAGCAUAAAAGGGCAACACCAACGCUCAUGGUCUGCACGAGCAUAAAAGGCAACACCAACGCUCCUUGCCUGCACGAGCUGAAACUGCAACACGGCACCAAAUGCUCCUUGUUCGCACGAACCAAGGCUCCUCGCCUGCACAAGCCUAAACUGCACGGCACUAUGCUCCUUGUUCGCACGAGCCUAAACUGCACGAACCAAAGCUCUUUGUCCGCACGAGCCUAAACUGUAGGACACAACACACUCCUUGCCUGCAUGAGUUAAAACUGCAAAACGGCACAAAAAGAAAAUACCAAAAAAUAUGUAUGUAUUUGAACUACGUUACGACUUGAUCUCUUCUUUGGAGGGGUACGUAGGCAGCUCGAAUGUUCAAUUUUUUUUCGAGUUCAGUCACAUCAAAAUCAAAAGAAUAAAUGUUUUAUUAAAGAAGGUCGAUUUCAUUACAAAUUUAUUUUGUUAAGAAAAUUUGCAAUUUUCUUUGUACAAAAUUAAAUUACAAUUUCUUCAAAAAAAAAAAAAAAAGAUUCCUUUUAUAUAUAUAUACAUGUAUAUAUAUAUAUAUAUAUGUAUAUAUAUAUAUAUAUAUGUAUAUAUGACCUCUAUCCAGCCAGCCCAUCAAAAGGAGGUCAUCCAAACCCAAGUGGCAGCGACCAGGCCCACACCUAUGUCCAAAUCCAGCUCCAAGAAGAAGACCCAAGUCCACCAGCAACAAAUCCAGGCCCGAUCCUCUCUUGAUCCAUACACCCCUCAAGCUACAGGGCCCUGUCAUCCUCUUCAAUGCAUCAGAGAUCUGAAUUUACUUCAUUUCCUUCCCCGAUGACUCUUCCACUCCCACCAUCUCCGCCGCCCAGACCUUCGAAUGCCACUCCCAGGGCGUCUCCGAUCUCGCCUUCUCCGCUCGGCUCACCGCCAUCAAUUCGCUCCACCGCGCCGUCACCAAGCUCGCCCUCAAAUGCGACCGCAGAUCCGUCAGCGUCGGCGACGAGGCGCUUGUCCUCAUUUCUGCGAUGCCGUAACCUCACGCGCCUGAAGAUCCGCGCAUACCGUGAGUUGACCGAUGCUGGGAUGACGUCGCUCACCAAAAACUGCAAAAAGUUGAAGAAGUCCCAAGACGACGACGAGGGACGUGACGGUGACGUUUACACCCAGCGGUAGAGUAUCACGGUGCAGCUCGUGCUCUUGGUGGAUGUGCAAUCUAUGUCAAUGAUAAGCCAGGACAUCACAAUUUUGACCUUCUGAGGAAGCUGGUUCUCCCUGAUGGAUCUGUCCUCCGGGCCAAGUUACCUGGCAAGCCUACCCGUGAUUGUCUCUUCGCUGAUCCAGCAAGGGACAGGACCAGCUGGCUCAAAAUAUGGGUGUCAACAAUCUCUCUGGUGUGGUUGGUGUGUUUAAACUGUCAAGGUGCCGGUUGGUGCAAGAUUGAAAAGAAGACGCGCAUUCAUGAUUACUCUCCUGGUACCCUCAGUGGUUCUGUUCGCGCCGCUGAUGUUGAUGCCAUUGCUCAAGUUGCUGGUGCUGAUUGGAAUAGAGAAACAGUAGUAUAUGCUCAUAAGUCAGGCCUACUUGACAUAUUCAAUUCAAGUGCUGCUGUGGAUGAGGGGAAAUUGUCACCCUAUUACUACGAAGAUGCCUCUCUCACUAGGUGCCCCGAUUGCAGGCUCUGCGGUAGAUCAGAUUGAACAAGUGGUGGGCUAUGUUAGUCUAGGCUAUCAUUUCGGCAUGCUUGCCUCAAUCCUUUUUGGGAGACACCACAAAGCCGUACUACAAUCCUCAAAACCCAAGCUUUUCGUAAUGGGGACACAGGGACGGGUUUCACGAGCGUUGAAGCAGUUAAAGAACAAGCUCUAAAGCUCUGCAGCCGGUCUGUUGAAACGCACCUGAUUGAUGGAGCAAGCCACUUCCAAAUGGAAGGCCCUGCUUAUGAUGCACAGAUGGAGCUUGGUUGGUUUACUAUGUGCUUUCGGUGUCAAAUUAAGCUGCUGUCUCAACAAAUACGAGAGAAAGAGAGUCGUUAGAUCAAUCUUUACGGUUAAGUGUCAUCCGAAGCAGGAAUAUAACUGGAUAUUCCAAGUCUCAAGUAUCAUAUGUUCGUCGCUCUCAAAACGUUGAUCUUCGGAAGCAAAUCGGCCGUCUCUGGUCAUUUUGUUGCCAUUUGAACCAUCAACUGCCCAACCUUCAGCCAUUAUCGCCAUCGCCGUCUUCCUCCUCGAGCAGUACCCAAACCGAGUGGAGAUCGUGCAGCUGGACGACUCAAACGGGGAGAUCCAGUCGGACCCCAACCUGUCAUUCGAGCACCCGUACCCGCCAACCAAGACCAUCUUCAUCUCGGCCAUGAAAGCCACCACAACCUCCUCACUUCUUCUCAACUAUCAGUUGACCAUUGUAUGCUCCCCCCAAGUUGGUUCUUCCUCCACGGCUGCAGCAAAUCCAAGCUCUUCCAUGGAUCCAAGCCCUUCCGCGGCCGCCUCGUCGUCUUCCUCCCUCCAUUGAAGAAGCAGCGGCAUCGAGCACCGCCUUAGCCAGCUUCUUGUCCCCCGUCAACGCCUCCCCCGAUCGCAGCAGCAACCAUCCUUGCCGUCUCUGCCGCAACGGCCUCAGCCUUCGCCUUCCUCCUGCGUGCUCCACGAAUCUAUGGCCACCCAGUUAUCGCCGUCUUCCUCAUCGGCUGCGCUGCUGAUCCUGGACACCAACCUCUGCGCCAGAACUGUCAUCAAGGGCACCGACGACGCCAUGGCUGCUCCUUCUGCACUCUUGCUCCGCUCCCUGCAAAUUCCCCAUCCCACCAUCCUAAUUUAUACAGAAAAAAAAAAAAAAAAAGGUGGUGGUGCGUCUGGCACCACGUGAAUAAACAAGGGAUGGUGGAGUCUUUGGUGCUCUGGCACCAUGUGAAAAAAAAAAAAGGAAAUCUGGAUUGAUCUGGCACCAUACCUAAAAAAAUAAAAAAAUUAAAGAAUAAAAAAAGGGAAAGCAAGUAGGAAGGUGGGAUGGUGCGGAUUGCACCAUGUAAAUAUACAUAUACAUGUAUGUGCAUGAUAUGUAUGUAUAUAGCAAACAAAAAAAAAAAAAAAAAAAAAAAAUACAUCGAGAGAAAUAAAGUCCGUUUUUAUUUAUUUCUUUCUGGAAUUUUUUACAUAAAUUUGCAUUGUACAAAAAAAAAAUUAAAAAAAAAAAAAAAUCAAAUCAAAUCAAAUUUACAAGAGGGGAUCUUCAAGGACGAUCAUGUGCCACCUCACCACUCGGCAGAGCUCCAGAAAUGAGAAGCGCUGGAGUUUGAUUGUUUGAAGCCUCGCCACUCUGCGGAACUCCAGGAAGAAGAGGAGCCAAAAGUUGAUCAUUCGGAGCUUCACUAUGCGGUACAGCCCCAGAAGACGAAGGCAAAUGUUGUUGGAACAAACCCACAAACCUCCGAUGAUCAAGUAAAAUCUGACCAUCAGAUUCCUGCAUCUGGUCAAUUUUCCUCUUCAUGUUUGUGGCAUAGUUGUGUGCAAGCUUGUGCAACUGUUUAUUCUCAUGCUUGAGCCCUCUGAUCUCCUGUUUGAGACUCAUCACUUCAGCCGCCAACGAUUCAACUUGACGGGUUCGAGCAAAUAGGCGUUGGGCCAUGUUGGACACAGAACCCGCACACUGCACACUAAGAGCCAGGGACUCCUUAACAGCCAAACUCAUCAGACCGCCUGGAAAGUAGUCUGUUAUCUUUGGGAGUGACAAGGUUCCGGGCCACCACCGCAGCGGUCAUGUCAUUCUUCAUCACCGAAUCCCCAACAGUAAGAGGACCAGUAGGGGAUAUGAAGGAUGGGCGCCAUAUGUUAUCUGGAGAAGACGGGACUACCUCUUCACCAAGGUUCAAAUCAAAACGACGGUCGGAGGGUCCAGACAUUUUCAAAGUGUUGAAGGAAGAAGAGAUCAGACAAAUCAAGAUCUUAGAAGUACAAGAGGGGAGUUUUCACAAGCAAAAAUUCAAGUGUGCUUUGAAACGAACUGCAUGCCUCUAUAAAAAUCAUCACUCGACGGGAUUUCAGAGAUCGAAGAGGCGAGCUCAGAAUUCGAAGAGGCCAUUCAAAAAUCGAAGAGGCAAGCUCAGAAAUCGGAGAAGCAUCUUGCUUUUUCAGACGUGUCGGCACCCGUCACACGCAAACUCAGCUUUGCGGAAAUCACGGGUAAUUUGUCGAAGCGCCAAUCCCAGAUAUCGAAGAGGCGCCAGUCUUUUUCAGCCGCGUCAUCACCUGUCAUAUGCACACUCAACUUUGCGCAAAUCAUGGGCAAUUUGUCGAAGAUUUUCGGUGAAGGAGAAAGCACGUUAAGUUUACUGUUCAAUCACGCGUUAGUUGCCGACACGAGUGAAAGAAUAGUACCUCUACAGGUAUUAAGGGACCUCCUAUAACUGUCCACCUUCACCUUCCAUAGCAAGGCAGACACACAGAGUUUUUCUUCAUCUCCAAAGAUGUUUUCCCAACGAAGCCUCUCGAGUCAUUCAGUGUUCCUUAUUCCUUGGGGUACCUCUGCAAGCCAAUGACUUCAAAGCAAAAGUAUCUCAUAUCACCAGGGUAGAAAGCAAGAGUAUCUCAUAUCAUGUGUUCUCCCUGUCCUUCCCUUUGUCCUUGUUCUUACCUACAAAGACAAGGAUAAAGAAAACAAUAUGCCAGAACCUCCACUCAAACUCGGGUAAGGAACCGACUGCUUGGAGCCCUUCCCUGAUUGCCUACCUAGCACUGCUAUCGAGUACUCGUCUCCCACUGCUGCUGUACUUCCAAAGAAGCUGCCACAUCUGCCCGAGGAAUAGAUAAAGGAUACCUUGAAGCAUGUGGAGACAAGGUGCAGAAGGCACAAGCAGAGAAGAAUGCGGUAUGCACGGUCAACUCAGCAGAAGGAGUCCGAACUGAGGAACUCGAGAAGCUGCCAUAUCUGCCUGAAGAAACAAGCAGAGAAGAAUGCAGCAUGCACAGUCAACUCAGCAGAAAGAGUCUGAGACGAAGAACUCGAGAAGAUGUCGCAUCUGCCUGAGGACGGUGAACUUGUUUUGACCCUCAAAUUCUUGGGUCGACUUACUAGGCGUUGUGGGCUGCGCGUGCCGAUUCACCACCCUUGAAUCGAAUCCUUAAAGAUCAAGUCACCAACUGGAAGAAGAGUUCAUCAAUCUUGAAGAUCAUACCAUUGACCAAACUGCUCAGGUGUGAAUUAGAAAGAUUGAACAAAGAAACAGGUUGUCACAUUUACCUCGUGCCUGCUUGCCAUGUGUUCGAGUCAACCUUCAAGAAUCAAGCCUCAACGGCCCUUGAAGAAGUUUCCAGCCAACUUCAAGAUCAAGCCUCGACUGCCCUUGAUGAAAUCACAAGUCCGAUUCAAGAUCAAGUGUCUACCACUCUUGAAUCAAAACCUAGUUCAAGAAUAAGCUGUGGAAAAAUCAACAAUUGGAGGAAUCCAGAAAAUCCUUCAACCCAGUUCAAGAUCAAAGCUGUGGAAAGUCAACAAGCGCAACAAAACACGUGCCGAUUCACCCACUACCAAAGCCGAAGAUCAUCUACCACAUGAAGCUCCUUGUGGUCCAAUUUCAACCUUCAAGAUCAAGCUUCGACGGCCCCUGAAGAAAUUUCAAACAAAAAGUUCAAGAACAAGCCUCAACGGGCCUUGAAGAAAUCUCGAGCCCAAUUCAAGAUCAAGCCUCAACGGCCCUUGAAACAAUCUCCAGCCCAAUUCAAGAUCGUGCCUCGAUGGCCCGUGGAUCGACAUCUACAGUAAGGGACUUCAAAACGCAUCUCCUACACGUGACAAGCACAUGUACACGACGUGCCUUGAAGUGGGGGCAUUUUGUAGACAUCGAAAUUUCGUAAAUAAAUGUUGACCGGUAAAUCAAAGUGUCAACGCUCAUGUAUUACAUAAAUUUUACACGUAGCGUGUGAUUCAACGAAAAUUGAAAUGAGUUGGAAAAGUCAUCAAAUAGGACACGUGUCAACACCUGGCAGAAACGACUUAUUUCAUCUGGAAUAUUAUAUUUCAAAAUUAGGCCUUGGAAAUUUCUAUAAAUACAAGCCUAUUUCAUUCAUUGAAGAAAACCAAAAUCAUUAGGCAAAACUCUUGAAGCUCUGAAGCUCUGAAACUCCGAAGCUCUCAAGCAUCCAGGUUCCCGAAGAAUCAAGAAAGCGUUCUUCGUUCAUCGUUCUUCCAAGAUCAAGCCCGACGGCCCUUGGAUCAACAAUCGUCCACCUUCAAGAUCAAGCCCCGACGGCCCUUGAAGAAAGUGUUCUUCGUUCUUCGUUCUUCCAAGAUCAAGCCCCGACGGCCCUUGGAUCAACCAUCCACCAAUUCAAGAUCAAGCCCCGACGGCCCUUGAAGAAAGCACCAUCGUUCAUCAUCCGUUCAUCCAAGAUCAAGCCCCAACGGCCAUUUGGAUCAACAACGUCGACAAAUCCACACAUCCAACCGUUCUUCAAGAUCAAGCCCAAAAGCCCUUGAAGAUCUGUUCAUCACUGUUCUUCAAGAUCAAGCCCAAAAAGCCCUUGGAGAUCCGUUUGUCACUUGUUUCUUCAAAGAUCAAGCCCAAAAGCCCCUUUGAAGAUCCACUCAAAUCCACCUUCAAAGAUCAAGCCCACGGCCCUUUGAAGAAACUUCCAACAGUUCAUCCAAGAUCAAGCCUCGACGGCCCUUGGAUCAACGAAACACCCACCAAUCAACACCUUACGGAGAUCGAAUCAGAGGAUCAAAUAGAAGAGAGAUUGUAACCCAAAAUCAUCAAAUACAUAAUAUUUGUUUGUGCACGUCGUUCUUGUCUCUUUCGUUUCAGGAAUUUUCCGUGUUCACAGUAUCCACUAGUGUAAAUAUUUUAAAUUGAAAAUCGAAUUCAUUCAUUGUAUUCAUAUAGGUCAAUGAGUGUAACUGUAAAAAAUCAUGAAAAUCAGAGUUAAAAUAACCGUUAAAUCGUGAUUUUUUGUUUUAAAACCGUCGAAAAGUUUUAUCCCGUUACUUGAUCUCUGAAUGUUUGUUUUUUGCGAUUUUUUGCUGAUGCGAUCUCGAAGCAUAUACAAACAAGUUUAACGGUUGAUCGUUGAAAUUAGUUUCGUGUAUCACAUCAAGUUCAAUGGUGUGUGUGUGUAUAUAUAUAUAUAUAUUUAUUUAUUAUGUAGAUUUAAAUCUAUUUAUUUUGUACGUAUAAUUAUUAUAGUUUUUAGGGGUAUAAAAUUUAAUUUAAAACUUAAUAUAUAUAUAUAUAUAUAUAAUUAUUAUAGUUAAUAUUUUGGGGGUAUAAUUAUUAUAGUUAAUUUAAUAUAUAUAUAUAUAUAUAUAAUUAUUAUAGUUUUAAACUUUUUAGGGGUAUAAAAUUGUUAAAUUAAUAUAUAUAAUUAUUAUAGUAAUUUUUAGGGUUAAAAAAUAAUAAAAUUAAUAUUUUGCUUAUCGUGUAUCGUGUUACCCACGUGUAUACCCGAACCAACCCGUUAUCUUAACAUGUGCUUAUCGGGUUACCCGAUAACACCCGAUUCAUUAUCGUGUCGACCUAAGCACCUGUUAAUUUCGUGUCGUGUCGUGUCAGGUUAUCGGGUCGUGUCAGGAAUUGCUAGGCCUAUAGUCGUGUAAACCUUAUAUGUAUAUUCCAAUCUCUACCUAGCACGAGGCCUUUUGGAAGCUCACUGGCUUUGGGUUCCAUCGGAACUCCGAAGUUAAGCAAGUUCGCACGAGAACAAUCCCAUGAUGGGUGACCCACUGUGAAGUUCUCAUGUGAGUUCCCAGAAACAAAACUGUGAGGGCGUGCUCGGGGCCCAAAACAGAUAAUAUCGUGCUACGGUGAAGUCGAGCUCAGGAUGUGGUGGGGGCUCGGGCUGGGAUGUGACACUGGAGACUAAAUUUAGAAACUAAAUAUUGUAAACUAAAUGACAUAAAAGUUAAUGAUUUGAUUAUUAUUUAAGCGUUAAUAAAUGUGUUCAUUUUUAUUAGUUGCAUAUUAUUUGACACACCCCGACCUAAAUCAAGGCGUGCUGGAUUGUAACAUCUCAUAUCGCCCAUAGGAAUGGAUCAUGUAAGCCUUAUAUGUAUAUUCUCAUCUCUACCUAGCACGAGGUCUUUUGAGAGCUUACUGGCUUCGGGUUCUAUAAGAACUCCGAAGUUAAGUGAGUUUGUGCGAGAGCAAUCCUAUGAUGGGUGACCCAUUAGGAAGUUCUUGUGUGAGUUCUCAGAAACAAAACCGUGAGGGUAUAGUCGGGGCCCAAAGCGGACAAUAUCGUGCUACGGUGGGGUCAAGCUUGGGAUGUGGUAGGGGCCAGGCCAGGAUGUGACAAUUUGGUAUCAGAGCCAAUCCCUAGUCGGAAGUGUGCCAACGAGGACAUAGGGCCCCUAAGGGGGGUGGAUUGUAACAUCCCAUAUAGCCCAAAGGAAUGGAUCAUGUAAGCCUUAUAUGUAUAUUCUCAUCUCUAUCUAGCACGAGACAUUUUGGGAGCUUACUGGCUUCAGGUUCCAUUGGAACUCAGAAGUUAAGUGAGUUCGUGCGAGAACAAUCCCAUAAUAGGUGACCCACUAAGAAAUUCUCGUGUGAGUUCCCAAAAACAAAAUCGUGAGGGCAUGGUCGGGGCCCAAAGCGGACAAUAUCGUGCUACAGUGGAGUCGAGCUUGGGAGUGGAUCCUUUAUGCCUUAUAUGUACAUUCCCACCUCCAUAUAGCACGAGGCUUUUUGGGAGCUCAUUGGUUUCGGGUUCUAUCGGAACUCCGAAGUUAAGCUAGUUCGCGCGAAAGCAAUCUCAUGAUGGGUGACCCACUGGGAAGUUCUCGUGUGAGUUCCAAAAAACAAAACCGUGAGUGCGUGGUCGAGGCCCAAAGUAGACAAUAUCGUGCUACGGCAUAAUCGACCCUGGCCGGGAUGUGACAUUAUUUAAUUAGUAUGUAAAUUUUAUCUCCAAAUUUAGUUUCCUUAGCAUUGCUCUAAAUUAAUGAGAAAGAAGCCCAACAAGCAACCUCUGGCUCUUAUUCGUUGUCACAUUAUGCAGGCAAAAACACACAGAGAGAUGUUAAUGGGACGGCGGGAGUGAAUCAAAGUGACUUGUUUCUCCAACCCUCCGCCCCACGAACUCUCUUCUCUCCCUUUAUCGUGUUUCAAUCAGUCAGUCAGUCAGUGUUUCCUUCCCAUCAAAGUCUUCUCGACAUAUAUAUACAACCCCAAAUCCAGUACCAUAACUCUCACUGGAGCAUUACUAUUAUUACUAUUAACCGAUUACUUCCUCGAUUCCUUAUUCCGCAUGCAAAAGAUCUUUGCGAGAACUCUAAAUCAGUAGUACAAAUACAGUGAGCUUAAGGAUGUUGGACUGGGGCCCGGUUUGCGUGGCGGUGGUGCUGUUCGUUUUGUUAUCUCCGGGCUUACUGUUCCAGCUGCCCGGCCGCCAUGGCUGUGUGGAGUUUGGCAGCUUCCACACAAGUGGUGCAGCCAUCAUGGUUCACUCCCUCCUCUACUUUGGUCUCAUUUGCGUCUUCUUGUUGGCCAUCAAGGUCCAUUUUUACCUCGGUUAACUAAAACUCUUAUGUUACUCCACCUCCUUCGUUACCGAUUGAGGUAAAAAGCGACACCAUUACUGAACAAUAUGUGAUCAACUUUUGUUUCAUCAAUAUUAUUAUUGCUUCAUUUGUAACCUUCGAUUACAAUGUUGGUUUGGAUUUGAUUAUAAUUUAAUUGAUGUUGGUUUGCAUUAUUUUUGUUGUGUUUUUGGUUGUGAAAUUAAAAUAAUGGUAACGGGUGAUAUUAGGGAUACUACAUUUAAAUUAUUUCUCUAAUGAAGUAGGGGUUCACAAUGCAAGUAGGAAAUGUGGUCUACCUAACGUUUUUCAAUUGUAAAAUAUUGGAUGGUUGAAGUUUUAAUUUCGAUGUGCCUGUUUCAUACUUUUAUUUUUGUUUGACUUAGCUUUCUCUCACUAGAGAGAUUUUUCAAUGCCAGAACACGGGACGGUACGUCAUAUGUUAUUAUAUAAGUUGAGGAAAGUUUUUUUUAUUAAAUAUUCUUCACUUGUAUAAUAACAUAUAACGUAUGUGUCUGUGUUUCGGACAAACCGAAAAAUCUUUCUCAUUCAUGGUCUUGAAUAAAGCAGCCUUAAACGAAAUAGUGGAUGUGGUCCAUGUAAUACUGCAACCGGCCAGCUGAUAUUUCCAUCAACUGCAAGUAUAUAUAGCAACACACCGGAUGUUUAGUAAGAAGAAUAUAAGGUCAAUGUGAAUGCUGAGGGCCGAAGUAGAAUUUGUUCACUUAUUUGGAUGGACAGAAUUAAUCUGAACUAAGGAAUACAAGCUGAAAAUACUAAUCUACGGUCAAUGUGGUUUUAAUUAAAACGAGCGGGUCUCAAUUGUUUUAUAAUAGCCAGAAUUAAGUUUCAUCGCUUAUAGCAAACGUUUCACAAAAAUAGGUUUUAUGACUUCUGUUUUUUCAUUUUGUUGGUAUUUUUCUAAAUUAAACCCCCGUGGUGAAAAUGCAAUUGGUUUUAUUACAUUUUGCGGAACCAAUUAAAAGUGUAAUCAAAGCAGAGUUCCGUCAAAUAGAGCAUAUGUGUAAUGGACCUGUUGGUUUUGAACAUAUAAGACUUAGAUAUAUGUUCAUAUAUAGUAUGGACGCAUGGGUCACAAUGGUCCGUUGCAAAACAUAUUAAACUGGAAUUGAAUAUGGUGUCAUCGUCCAUCAAGAUUAAAUAGGGUUAAGCAGAAUGAUCAUCAAAUAACAGCUGUUUAAAGGGUUUCUCUCAUGACGUUGCUGCUUUGACAUUUGUCUAAUUAGCAUCCUCCACAAGGCACCGACCAUUCUAAUCCAAAUAUGAUGAUAAACAAUAAACAAGUUAUAAUAAAAAGUAGGGCUCUUAUUAAACAUUUUCAUAUAUAUAUAUAUAUAUAUGUAUAUAUAUAUAAGGAGGUGGCAGAAGAUUUCUUGAUCCACAAUCAACACUGAUGCUCCUUCUUUUCAACAUUGAUUCCUUUCUUCCGUUUCUUAGUUUCUAACACUCUUUGAUUCUCUUGUUUUUCUUCCCUUUUAUACCACACAGGUGAACUCUUUGUGACGGUCUCCACUUAGACACAAACAAGUAAAAAAACAGCUGGAAGAUCAUCUCAGAUAUCGUGAAGAAUGGCGGAUUGGGGGCCGGUGGUGAUAGCGGUGGUGCUGUUCGUGCUGCUGAGUCCUGGGCUGCUGUUCCAACUGCCGGGGAAGGGCAGGGUGGUGGAGUUUGGGAACAUGCAGACGAGCGGGAUAUCGAUCCUCGUCCACACCAUCAUCUUCUUCGGCCUCCUCACCAUCUUCCUCAUCGCUAUUGGUGUUCAUAUCUACACUGGAUGACCAUUACCUUAAUUUCCUUUUUAGAGAUUUGCUUAUUAUAUCUUUUAAUUUCAAUAUGCAUGUUUGGCAAUUUAUUUGAAACUUUGUUCAGAUUGUUUGUUUUGAAUUUGAGCAGUACUGUUUGAUGUUCUAAGUUUUUCCUUAUCAUCGUUAACAAAUUGGUGAGGAUGUGUUUCUUAAUGUGGGGAAAGCAUGUACCUCUCUAAACUUUUUAUUUUUUGUGUGAACGUCAUUAGUUCUUUACAUUUAAAUAGUCAUUUCUCUUUACUUAUGAAUUAUAACAUGACAUAUUAUACCACGACGCGUUGACACAUAUACAAAAUAACUCAUUAAAAUCACAAAAGAAAAAGUUUUGCACAUUUCUUAAACUGUAAUUUUCAAAACUACAGACUCAAAAGAGAUAUUAUUUUCGAUAGUUACAUGACGAAUGAAUAAAUAGUCACUUAUUUUGAAAUUUGAUAAUAAAGAUCAGAAUUAAUAACAUGUACCUCUCUAAACUUUUUAUUUUUUGUGUGAACGUCAUUAGUUCUUUACAUUUAAAUAGUCAUUUCUCUUUACUUAUGAAUUAUAACAUGACACAUUAUACCACGACGCGUUGACACAUAUACAAAAUAAUUCAUUAAAAUCAAAAAAGAAAAAGUUUUGCACAUUUCUUAAACUGUAAUUUUCAAAACUACAGACUCAAAAGAGAUAUUAUUUUCAAUAGUUACAUGACGAAUUAAUAAAUAGUCACUUAUUUUGAAAUUUGAUAAUAAAGAUCAGAAUUAAUACGUAUAUACUUCUAACGUUUUUUAUUGAUAUCAAAUUUAAAAUUGAUUGACUAUAAACUUUUAAUCACCAUGUAAUCAAGAGAAUGAAACUUUAUUCUAGCGUGUAAAGCACUAUUUGCCUCUUUCCGUGCUUGUUUUCAAGCUGAAUUGAGUCAAUUGACCCAUGCCAAUGAGAUCUAGACAAAACCAUCCCAUUGUCGGUUUUAGAACACUUGGCAGUUUGAUGUCAUUUUCCUUUGGGCUUUUGACAUUUUCACAAGCUUCCUUCGUGGUAACUUGUACACUUGUGUCGCUUCCAUUUUAAUGCACUCCUACUGACUUGUUCGCACAGUCGGACAUCGCUGCACGCUUUUCUUUUCUCCUUAAUAGUCUAUUUAAAAUUUACGGUUAUGAUUAUAGGUAACCGUUUAAAUAAAUAAAUAAUAAUAGGUAUUACCAAUGGUUAUAAAUGGGUAUUCAUUUAAUCGUUUAUUUUAAUAAAUGUAAGCUUAAAAAAUAACAUUAGUUUCUAGCUAAGUUUAGUAUCUUGAGACAUAACUGGUUAUAGAUGAGCCAUAUAUAUGUCUCACUUGAGUGUAAAAUAUAGUUGAUAUGAACGAGCCUAUGUUUAAUAUAUAUGAUUGAACAUGCUAAAACAUUAGAGUGUUUGAAAGUUUUGUAUUGGAGUAUUUUGGAGCUUUGAACCAUUUAGUAUUGAAGAUAAUGAUUAUCUUAAACCUUUAGAAGCAUGUUUUGGAAUAUUUUGGAGUUUUAAAUCAUCUAGCAUUCAAGAUAAUGAUUACCUUAAACCUUUAGAAGCAUGUUAAUGUUGGCUGACGCGUACCUAUAUAUAUUAAUUUAAUUGGCCUUAAGUUUUCAAUAAAUAAUUGACCCAAAAAUUAGAAACCGAUUAAAUGGCCUGAAUCGAUGAACAUAUCUUUCUAAAUAAAAAUCUAAAUAUUUAUCAAGUUAGCUUAUUAGCAUACUGAUACGUAGUUAUAUAUAUAUUAAUUAACCUACAACCAUGCAUGAUUCUUGUAAUAGAUUGACUAUCAAAUAAUUGGGAGACAUCACAUAUAUUCAUAAAUAAUAUCGUCAUUAAUAUGAAAAUGCGUUAAAUGCACGCUUAACGGUGUUUAAUUGUUAGAAAAAGAAAAUUAUGACAAAUUUCUUUUUUAAUUUUCAAGUUGUUAAAAAAAAUGGUAGACAAGUAAAAAAGAGUGUAAACGGAAUAAAAACAGAAAAAUGGUUACGCGUUUAUGGUUAAAUGGGUACGCAAUUAUGGGUGUGGUUAACCGUUUAUAAACGGUUAUGCAUAUGGGUAUACUCGUUUAUGCAAAUACCUAACGCGUAAACGGUUAUGUGGGUAAGAGCUUAAAUGGUUAUGGAUAAAUAACCGCGAUUAUCUGUCCUCCAUAACUGUUGCUCAUUCCUAACUGUAGCGUCCCGUAUGGUUGAUACAGUGCCAAGUAAAAAUACAUUCGUACUACAUUGCGUCAUUGACACAAAACCGCCAUUGCAACAAUACACACACGCCAUUAAAAUUUCUCUCAUCUACAUUACCGAAAAGGCUAAAACGAGAGCUGACCAAAUAAAUUCGUUAUGGGAACGAUUCGCUCCCCAUCCCGUGCCGCCUCCAUCUCCAACUGGAUGGAUUGCGUUGCGUACAUUUAAGGCGAUGCCCUUAAAUAUGCCCCCAAACACAAUUGCCAUCCCUCCCCUGCCCCCACAAAGUCACUACCAGGAACCUACCUUGUCGUUGACAAACCAAUCCCAGUGAUCGACCAAAAAUGCAACGACAAACCAGUCCCAACAUGCAAAUAUGCACCCAAAGAGACAAUGUGAAAGAUCAUCUGUUACCCCAUUUCUCACUAAGAAAAACCAGAAAACGAAUAGACGUGAGCCGAGCUAUAAACUUUUACAGAUUUGAGAACAAGAGAUAAUGAGAAGUAAAUGUACUGAACAACACAGAGAUCAGAACAACGAAGAGGCUAAGCGACAUCCGCCGCCAUCUCCUCACAACUAGGAAUUUCAUUGGAUGCAACUACAUAGAAUUAUCAUCAUCAUCAUCCUUCAACAAUUCACUAUUUUAGAAGCCAUUUCCACAUAUGCAGUAGAGUAUUAAUAAAACAUUUAUCCACUGUUCAUGCAUCAAUUACUUCAAGAAGCUAUCGAUUUAAUUUAUGGCCUCAGCUGCCUAUACAACAUUCCUUUCCCUAUAUGCAGCACCACUCUCACAAGAACAUCAUCUGUGCUGCUGCUCCGUCCUUCCGUAAGACAUUUCAACUCCCUUGAACCACCUCCUCCCUCUCCUUCACAAUAGCUUCCAUGCUGCACCAAUAGAAAAUUUAGACAGAAUUACAAACAAUCUUCCAGAGAAGUACCAACCAAGGCAGCAGAUAAUAUUUCCAGUGCAUAUAGAAUGGACGGGGAAAGAGCAGGGACGAUGACCCAAAAAACAAACAAAUGUCAAACAUGUAAUCACAGGCCUUACCUUCCCAGAAAACCUCCUUAAUUAUCAAAUAUAAAAUAAACGCCAACUAAAUAUGCUUCAUUUAUCAUUUUCUAUAUCUACAUUCAAUGUCAACAAGCCAAAACUCUUCGUGAACAGUUCUAUCUUAAUCAUGCUAAGCUAGAAUACCAAAUUAACAGAUUGGAAAUUUGGAAAACCUAAAGUAUUCCUCGGAUACCAAUAGAUAAAGCAACUCAAUUUUCUUCACGGCCUUUUCAUUUAUUCAAAGAUCAUUUUUUGAAUCAAAGAGGACAAACGAAAUUUAGAAAUUUUUCAUCAAUGAUCCUUUUACACAGAAGAGACAUUUUAUACGGUGGAUGAAGGUUGGAAAUUUGACACAACCGCGACAGCAAUCAAAGCGGAAUUUGAUAUACAGAUGAGGGGCCGAGGGUAAAGCCAAAUACUAAUGCAUAUGCAGAACACGGCUCCGUGCUCUAACAGACCAAAUGGUUUGAGACUAAAUUUCUACCGGGUUCUAUAAUCCUUCCCAAAUCACGCGAUAAUCGAAUUCCGAUCAAAGUCAGCACAUUUUAACACCAAAAUUAAAUCAACAUGUUUCCAAAUAUUACCCCCUUCUAGUUCUAAUUAAAGAAUAUAUAUAAUCUUCCAAAUCAAUAUAUUUAGCAGAUGGAAACAAAUGAUAGUAUACAAAACGAAAACCAGACAAAUUUGAUACCAAUAUUUCAGACAACAACAAUAACAACAACGAGAGACAUAACCCAUGUAAAGGAAAACAGAAGCAGAUUAUUAUUAAUCCAACAAAAGACAAAAACAAACAUUAAACGCUCAGAGCUAAAGUAAAAAAGGCAUAAAAUUUACCAGGAAUGUCCUUCCGCGGCGUCGACGGGGCGGAGGCGUAGCAAAGAAUCGACUUCCCCAAGACGGAGAGGCUCGACAGGAUCCCCGCCACGUACAACACCAUCACCAAUCCCAGCACCCACGGCAUCAAUAUGAACCCAAUGAAGAAAGUCACCGUUCCGCACAGCAUCAGAGCCAUCGAAAUCCCCAGCAUCAACGACGCGAAUCCCACCGGCGAGAUCUGCGCCGUCGACGCCGCCGGCGGCCGCCUCAACGACGACGCAGACGUAGUCGGGGGCAUCAUCACCGUGGAGUUAUCGGAGAAUUGAAUCGGCGUGGGAGGAGAUCGGAGGAGGUUGAGAACCAGAGCCGACAGCUCGUACAAAACCCUGGAUUGCUGGUCUUGUUGCUGCUGCCUCUGCAUCAUCUUUCUAUCUUAUUUUCUCGGGAAAAUUAGGAAAAUUGAGGUCUGAGGUCAACAAUUCUUAAGAACCUAAAUUCCUGAGAAAUCCAAAUCGAAAUUUCGGCGAAAUUCUGCUAUAAUCGAGGCAAUCGGAUAGAGAAGUGGGAUUGGAUUGGAGAGCGUUCUCUGUCUUCUGGACCCUUUUGUAAUAAUUUAAAAUCCAAGUGGUGAGUUUUGAGAGGCGGAAGUUUGUUUGUUUCUUUCUUCUAUCAAAAUCUCUGAGAUGGGGAGCCGGAUUUUCUUUUCUCGCCCGUUCCCUUUUAUUUCCUCGGAAAAUCGGCUGUUUGGAUUGGAAGAAAAUAACAGAGGGGGAAAGACCAAGUCAGCUUAAUGCGGAGGCCGUUUGCGCUUUUUAUCCGGAAAAAGCAAACAAUAAAAAUACAAUGGAGGUCGUUUGGGAUAGGGCGACACGUAAGAUGUGGGCACGUGGCGAAUGCGAUAUGGAUUGGAUUGGAGUGGAGUAGCAGCCAGUGAUGAGCACGUGGGACCCAGGUGACGUGGGACCUUAUCCUCUCCCCCAAACAACCGCCUUCGUAUUUUACAGCUUACUCUUCCUUCGCUUGUGCACUUUUGCUAGUUUAUAUUUUGUUCUUUACUUGUAAUUUUUAUUUUUAUUUUAAAAUAAUUUUUCAUCUUUUUAUCAGUCGACAGUUUUGUUCUAUUCCGUUGGUUUGGAAUUUCGUUAAAAUUAAAUUAUUUUACUUUAAACUUAAUUAGAAAUGUGUAAUUUUGAAAUUAGGAGUGAUUCAUUUUAUUUGCCUCGGACUUUAUAUAUAUUGUCAAUUUUAACGUAUUUUUAUAGGUGGGUAGUUUUGUUCUAUUUGUUUGAAAUUUUAUUUAAAUUAAAUUAAUUUAUUCUAAAAUCUUAAUUAGAAGUGGGUAAUUUUGAAAUUAUAAAUGAUUCACUCUUUUGUACUUCUGGUUUUGUACAUAUAGAUAUUCAGCGCACUCAUAAUUCUAAUUAUUUCUUCAGUAAAAAAUAUUGUUACAGGUAAUAUUAAAAUUGGAUUAGUUGUGGAAUUUGGUUUGAUGCGUAAAUAAAUAUGAGGUGGAUGAUGCAUAAUUAGGAGACGGUUUGCAUACUAAAAAUAAUUAGGGAGUUUUAACGAAAUACUCGCGGUACUAUCAAUUUUAAUGAAAAACCAAAUUUUUACACUAAAAAGUCAAACCUGGUACUAUUCACUUUACCCUUUAUUUUGUUUUUAUCGUUAAAACUCAAAAUUUUCAAGCCAUUUUCAUUAGUUUUCUUUAAUAAUUACAGACAAAAUAUGGUACAAGCCUUUUCUUUUGUUGUUGUUAAGAAAAUCAAAACUAAUGUCACUUAGUACUACGGUCUAGUGGUAUUCUUCUUCACUUAUAAAUGAGAAGUCUUAAGUUCGAUUCUCGCCAAAGACGAAUUUGAACCACAUUAUUAACCAAUAGUUAAAGUGUUUUGUGAGUUUUGUUUUUUUUUUUUUUUGGGAAGACAGGUGUUUUGUGAUUUUGUUGGACCAUCCUGUGAUGACUUGUCACUUUACUAUUAUUUGUGGAUUUGACUUUUAUUGGAAGUUCUUAGAGCUAGAAAAGGGCACAUAUUGGGCCCACUAAUUAUUGAGAUAAUGCUCUUUCUACCAUGGCAAAUUGGAAGACAUUAUUAUUGUUUGAAACUUCACUUUUAAUGUGAUUCAUGUGAUAUUUUAUUAUUGCACAUUUAUUUACGUUAGAUUCUUUUUUAAUAAAAUGAUUAGUUAGUGGUUUCGUUAUAACAAUUCACUCUUUUGAGAGUUAGGAAAAUUCACAGAAGUAAAAUGUUUAAAUAAAAAUUGAGAUAUUGUAUGCGUUUAUUUUGGCUGUAAAAGAAAAAAUUAUGAAUUCGCCACUAGUAUAUUUAUUUAUAAUACUUUAACCUAGAGCUAAUGAAGCUAUUGUUUAUGAGACUUGUUUAUUGAUUUUUUAGUAUAAAUUAUAUUUUUAUAUUGAAUAUAUGCAGAAGAGUUUAAACUGAAAAUACAAUAAGUUAUAUUUUUGUGUGUUGGCUUAUGAUUUUAAAAAUCUUGUAACCGAAUGGAGCCAAAUUUGGCUAAGUGCGUGGUGGUUGAAGCCAGAUCACUGAAGUUGAUCCACAAAAUUACUGAACUCCUAGAACGUGGAUGGCACAUUUGAGGUCUCAAUCCAUAUACGUGGCAUUCUAUAUGUAUAUGAAUACAUAAUAUAUAUUAACUUAUCGUAAUAGUACAUGCACGAUGCAUGAAUCUGUAAAAUUAUUGGGGUUGUCACGUUUGAAUAGACUUAAAAAAUAACAAGAAACUUGUUUUUAUGCAUUCACGUGAAAAUGUGACUUAUAUUUAUAUACAGUAUAGAUUUUUCAGAGUGUGAAAAACAAUCCGGUAUAUCAAAAACUAUAAUAUAAGUGGUUAGAUAUUGAAACAAUUUUUUUUUAACAACUUGUAAUAUAAUACUUGCUAUAACGUGUUGUGUUUUUAGCACACUUAAUUUCUCCAAGUCUAGAAUGUAGUUUAAUUAAUUACUUGAUUGUUGUCCUAAUCAGAGGGGAAAAGAGAGCCAUUUCGAGUUGCAACUAGCUCUUAAUCUAAUUGCCUAUGAGAUUAGAGCCCCUACCAACCAGCAAGAGCCUUUUUCUUUGUACAAUGCUUGCUUAAAUGGUUAAAACUCUAAAUCAACAAUUCAUUAAAACUCAUUAAACUAAUAGAUGAGUUAAAUACUUAAAUCAAUUGAUAAUAUAGACAGUAGAUUCAAAUAAUAUAUAGAGCGGAUUCAAAUAAGAAUACUCACGAGCACAGAUAUAGUUGACGGAGAAAAUUGUUGUGUAAUUUCUGAGUGAGUUUAAUUAUAUUUCCCAAAUCAUAAGCCAAACACAAAAAAAAAAAAACCUCACUACAUUUCGGAGUUCAAACUCUUCUCUCUCUUUUUAAUGUAUACAUUUAAUAUAAAAAUAUAAUUUAGAAUUAAAAUAUAAAAAUACGAAAUGUUUACAAAAUGCUUGCUCAAUGGCUUGGAGGAUCGAAUGAGAGAGAUGUAUCCAAUGUUGUUUUAUGGUUACUAAUGAAUUAGAUGGAUUAUGUAAAUUUCAAGGACGAAAUUUUAUAAGGUGGGUAGAUUGUGACAGCCCGUUCCGGAAAAUAAUUUCCGUUGACGUGAAAUUACUAGUUUACCCUUGGACGUUAAGUUGUGUGGUGUAUGACUUGUAUUUAAGUUGGAUUUAAUUAUGAUUUCCUAAGUUUUUGGAACCACCUAGGAACUAAGAAAGACUAAAUUUUGAUUGGUUGGAGAGAUUUGGUCCACACACUACACCUCACUUUCUCUCUCUCACUCCCGUGCCCUAUCUCUCAGACUCACUCUCUCUCUCCUCCUUCGUAUGGACGAGCACCAACUCACCCAUUCACACACAGAUCGAGAUCGUGCUUGGUUGCAUUGUCUUCAUCUCCUCACCACGAGCUCAUCCAUACUAGUUUCAGGUAUGAAAACCUUCGAAAACCUAGUGAACCAAGAAUAUCCGAAUUUAACAUUGUUCAUGCUAACGUAAAAAUAUGUGCUUUUGGAAAUUCUAAGCUCACAGGGAGCUUAAGGAAGUCCUUACGAAGCUCGGAGUACUUCGUUUAAAGAAAUAGGACAUCAAGAUAGCUAGUUUUGAAGUUGACCUGUUUUCUCGAAAUUCUCUUGCAAGAAUUUGUGGAUUACAGGUUCUAAAACAGGUAUAACGUUGUUCUACUCAUCUCUAGCUUUCCAUUGUUGCAAAUUUCAUAGAAAAUGGUGAAGAAUCGAGUGAGAAAAUAAGGUUUUUUGAAAUCCCCAAAUUCCGGCGACGGCGACGGUCACCAGGGAUUUAGGAAAAAGACGACAUAAUAUUCCGUCAGUCCUGACGGAAUAUUCUGACGCCGUCAGUUAAGAGUAACGAUUUCCGUUGGGUUUAAUGGAAUAUUUCAAGGAAUAUUCCUGACACUGUUUGUAGAAUCCGUCAGGAUUCCGUGCGCAUGGCGGUGCGUGCAGGGUCAAAAAAUUAUUUUAAAUUCCUGGGUGUUUGUGACGUUGUGUAGGUCACUGUGGUAUAUUUAUAUACCCAAUUUGAGUUAUGUAUGAGAAGUUAUUACAUGGUUUGGUAUAUGUGCAUUAAAGUGACGUUUAUAUAGUUGUUUCUCCUAUAGGCGAGACCUAUCCGGAGGAUGAGUGUAGCCAGGCUAGGCACGGGGGUUACGACCCAGCUACAUAUCAGUGAGUGGGCAGGUAUUUUCAGUAUAUAUAUAUAAAUAUAUAUAUAUAUAUAUACACACACACACACACUUAAUGCCAUUCAUAUGCAUUUAUAUUUCGGGUAUGAUUUGAUAUGUGGUGUUAUAUAUAUAUAUAUAUAUAUAUAUAUAUAUAUAUGUGUGGUGCUGUGGAGGCUCAAGUAAGCUCAGGUAAGUUAUGUUUGGUUAUGUGAAUUGUCGAUGAUCUGAUAUGUGAUUGAAUAACGUUGAGCUCAUAAAACUGCACCUAUGGUGAUUAUGAUUUAGCCAGAGAUAUGAUACAGGCUUGUUUAUUUAUGUCACCUCCCGCACUAUAUGCUCAUAUUAGAUCCAACUUAAGUGCACAGUCUUAUCGUACAGACCUUAUUUAUGGUUCCGACUCGUAGGUGACUAGCGAUUUAUCGCCUGGCUAUUAUGAGAGAGUAAAAUUGAGCAUAACUAUAUUACACCCAAUCUUGUCGUACAGACCUUUUUAGUGGUUCCGACUUAUGUGCAGUAUAUUUUCGUACAGGUCGUUGUAGUGACUCCGGCUAGAUUGACUUUGAGUUAUGAAUUCAGCCGUACAUACUACCACAGGGGUUCUGGCUAACAUAUCAUAUUUCUAUGAAUUUAUUCUUACCUGAAUUGCUUACUUUGUUAUAUCUUGGCAUGGCAUACAUAUGUUUAUGAUUAUGUUAAGCAUGAUUGAAAUGAUAUAAUUACAUAUAUUUAUUUAUGUAUAUUCUUAUAUCUUAAUUCUGGGAGAAACUAUACUUGUUUUACGACGAGGAGUUAGUAUAUUUAAAGGAAAAUAAGGUUUUCGUUUUACUGACCCACUCAACUUUGUUUUUCGCCCCUCCAAGUUUUAGGUAGCCGAGUUUGGUGGCCACAAGGAAUCUAACGGUGUUCUGACAGAAUCCGAAAGAGUAGGAUUCACCUUCGGGUGUUGUAUUUUAGUAAUUGUCCUACUUGACUGCAACUAGAUGUUCUUAUUGCUCUUAAAGUGUAUUUAUACACUUAGACCCUCACUAGCAUCCUUUCUUAACGGGAAUUGCUAGUUGCUUGGUUUAAAUUGUUCGUUUUUUCUUAUUCUUUAUCGCUUUCGCUUUGCGCACAAGGCUACGUCACGCUCACGUGACGGCCAACACGUCUCGACUUCGGUCAGGGUGUGUCAGUUUGGUAUCAAAGCUUAAGUUGUAGUCAUGUAUAUCUUGAGAAUUUCCUAGUGUCUUUUGUCAGAACUAUACCGCCUCGUAGAGAGCCACGUCGUUCUGAUGAGCCUAGUUUCCCCGAUAUAGCCCAGAUAGGGGAAGCUAUUGCUAGGGUCAAUCUAGUAUCCGUCCUUUCCAAAUGACUCAUCUCGAGACUGUUUUGUUUAAGUUGAAACUAAAUCAUUUUAUGAAAAAAUGAAGGACUUGAGGGAGCAGAGCGAUGGCUCAAUCAUUGGAAAAGACGUUCCGCGUUUUGCUAAGUCAAGGGAAUCUUUUUUUGGAAAGGUGCAUCAAGAUAACUACUUGGUUCUGAGUAUUGAAUCUGCAUCUUGGUAAAGACAGAGGGUUCAUCAAUUGAUGCCAGAGGAAAUUGCUGAUUGAGAAUUGUUUAAAGAGUUGUUAAGAAAAGAUUUAUUCCUCCGGUAUAUAUGAUUGGUAAGAAACAAGAGUUACAAAUUUGAGACAAGGAAAAAUGACGACGAAUGAGCAUUAUAGAAGGUUUAUUGACUUGUCUCGCUACCAUUCAGAUGUUGCUGCUAAUCCGGUUGAGAUGUUACGUCAUUUUAAGCUGAGUAAUAAGAAGAUGUGGUGUUCUUUGGCGACCACUACCCAUUGUAUUUUUUACCAGGAGUUUUACGAGAUUUUGUUGAAGAGUAAGAAAAUAUGUUCAGUGAUAGUGAUGAAGAAGAGGAAAAGAAUGGGAAUCAGAGGAAAAAUGAUAAAAGUUAAGGUCAGUCAUCUCAAAGACUUCGUAAAACCCAGAGCUUCAAAAAAAGUGGAGCUAACUCUAGUUCUUCUAGCAGAAGUUUUAGUGUUACUGGUCUGAGAAGAGGUGGUAGAUUCACUGGAGGUCCUAGAUCCCCAAAGCAGGGAUAUAUUGGUAAAGGAAAUGCACUUUGUGCCGUAGGUACAAUAAUAGACACUUUGGAGAGUGUAGACGAAGAAGCAGUGGAUGUUUUACAUGUGGACAAUGGGACAUAGAGCUGCAAAUUGUCCCUAGAAUCAGUAGAUGCCUAACAGUCUUCUUUGCCACCAUUAGUGCGGAUCUAGCAGGUUCCUGGAUCUAGUAGCUAUAGUCAGUUAAGCUGUGGUGUGCAAGGGUGAAGUAAUCAAGCUAAUAGAGGUUGUAAGGGACGACAACAAGCCAAGGACGUGUUAGUCACAUAUCACUGUAAGAUGCUCAGAAUCAUUUGGAUGUGAUCAGGGGUACGUUAAACAUUUUGGUCACUUUGCUAGAGUUCAUUGGUUGUGAAGCAUAAAUUUUAUGUUAUUGACGAUGUUGCCAAAGAAAGUAGUGAAGGAGCACGAUCGAAGCGUGCAUAUGUAUUUCCCAAUGAAGGACAAUAUGGUAAUAUUGCACCAUUGGGAAUUGUUACUUACUUAUCAAGACAACAGUGAGUUAUCAAUAUUGCGGGCUGCAGACCGUAAUAUUAAUAACUUAUUCAUUGGAUUCGUUAAGCAAGUAAGCAGGCAUGUCAUUCUAUGUUAGUAUGGUGUUUUCAGGGUGUUCAGUGAUGGUAGAAGAUGUAGUAUGUCAGUGAAUCUCAUCCCUUUAGAUAUGGUGGAUUUCGAUGUUAUCCUAGGCACAUAUCGGUUGUUGUAUGAUCGUGCCAAUAUAGAGUGCUACGGGAAAUCAGUUACUUUUCAUCGCCUUGGAUCACCCAAGGUUACUUUUGUGGAUGAGCAAAGUGGAAUGAGACAUGUCGUUAUUUCUACUGCGAGAGCAAAGAGAUUGUUAUCGAAAAGCUGCUAAGGAUACCUAACUCUUAUGGUGCUAAAUGAUGCUACUCUGGGAAGUAGUGUGGAAGAUGUAAAGGUGGUUAGACAUUUUCUUGUUGUAAUUCCGGACGAGUUACCUGGAUUGCCGCCAGAUAAAGAUGUGGAAUUCACUAUUGAUUUAUUUCCAAGUACAGAUCUUAUAUUAAAGAAUGGCUCUUGCUGAGUUAAGGGAAUUGAAAAAUUCAGUUGCAGGAAUUGGUUGAUAAUGGUUCCAUUUAACCUAGUAUGUUAUCUUGGGGAGCCCUAGUUUUAUUGUGAGAAAGAAAGACAAGACAUUAAGGCUAUGCAUUGAUUAUAGGCUAUUAAAUUGGGUAACGAUUGAAAACCGUUAUCCAAUGAUGCGCAUUGAUGAUUGUUUGAUCAGCUUAGAAGUGCAUGUGUGUUUUCAAAGAUUUAUUUGAGGGCUGGUUAUCAUCAGUUGAAGAUUAGCGGUGAGGACGUCCCUAAGACUGAUUUCAGGAAUCGUUGUGGUCUUUAUGAGUAUUUGGUGAUGCCAUUCGGAUGACGAAUGUGCCUGCUGUUUUCAUGGGUUUGAUGAAUCAAGUAUUCCAGCAAUAUCUAAACAAGUUGUUAUUGUUUUCAUGGACGAUAUUCUAGUAUACUCUAAGUUGAAAGCGGACCAUGUUCGACAUUUUAUCUUGGUAUUAAAGAAAUUAAGAGAACAUCGGUUGUAUGUCAAGUUUAGUAAAUGCCAAUGUUGGAUGAAUCAAGAUAUGUAAUAUCUGCUCAAGGUAUCCAAGUGGAUCCUUAAAAGGUAGCAGUGGUGGAGGAUUUGGAACAACCGCGAACCGUGACUAAGGUACGGAGCUUUUUAGCUUAGCAGGCUAUUAUAGAUGGUUGUUAAGGAAUUUUUCAGUCGUUGUCUUGCCAGUAACGAGAUUGAUGAGGAAGAGAUUAAGGUUGAGUGAGAUGAAAGUUGUGAGCAAAGUUAUCAGCAGCUGAAGUAUUAUCUCACUUAUACACUUGUUUUAGCACUCCCAGAUGAUGGUGAUAAUUUUGUGGUCUGCAAUUAUGCCUCAUUGAAUGGUCUUGGAUGUGUGAUGAUGCAACAUGGUAGAGUGAUUGCUUAUGCUUCACGGUAAUUGAAACCUCUUGAGAUGAAUUACCCUACUGAUGAUUUGGAAUUAGCAGCCAUUAUAUUGCCUUGAAGAUUUGGAGACAUUACCUUUAAGGUGAAAAGUGCAAGGUUUUUAUGGAUCAUAAAAGUCUCCAAUAUAUUUAUUCAAAAAGAUCUUAAUCUUCGGCAACGAAGAUGGAUGGGUUGCUUAGUGAUUAUGAUUGCACGACCAGGGUAAUCGUGUGAAUGUUGUUGCUGAUGCACUUAGUACGAAGACCCCAGUGAGAAUUAAUGCUUGAUAUGCUUGCCAUGUUUCUCUUAUUGUGGAUUUGAGAUCUACUGGAGUGAAGCUUAAGGUGAAAGAACGAGAAUAAGCUCUAUUGGCUAAUUUAUAGGUCAGGCCAAUUUUAGUGGAUUGUAUACUCGAUACCCUGAUGAUCGAUGAAGAAAUUCAAGAGUUAAUCGAGACAAGAAACGACGGGAAAAAAAAAGAUCUCAAAGUUAGAGAAUCAAAUGUCAUGCUUAUGCAAGGGAACGAGAUGUAUGUGCCUAAUGAUGUGGAAUUAAGAAAGCAAUUUUGGAUAAAGCGCAUAUUUUAGGAUAUGUAAUGCAUAGAGAUAUUAAAAAUGCAUCCUAGAGACUAAAAUGUAUCAUUUACCAUCGAAUGAUUAUUAUCAUUGUUGGGGUAUGUAGUAAGUGUACCAAUUGUCUACAAAUUAAAGCUGAAAGGAAGAAACUUUUUCAAUUGAUGCAGCCACUUCUCGUUCCAUAGUGGAGAUGGGAGAAUAUUACGAUGGAUUUCGUGUACAAGCUACCUAGUACACAAAAUGGUUACAAUGGAAAUUUGGGUGAUAGUUGAUUGACUUACUAAGUCAACGCAUUAUUUUUCAGUAAAGGAACAGUAACCUUUCCAGAAGUACAACAGUUAUUUAUAUGUUUUAUGGAAAAGAGAUUUGGGCUUACGGAUCUGUUGAACUUCUUGGGCAUAUUCACGUCAGUUGAAAGUAACAAGGCCCAUGAAAUUGUCGAAAUUUUGGAAAACAGAAGGUAUUUUGGGAGCAAAAAGGUUCAACCACGAAUGGUUUGAAAAUUUAAGGCCUGAGUUAGUGGAUUUUGAGACUCAGUAUUCAUACCUGAAAGUAAUCCAGGAGAAGUCAGGAGUCGACAGAAGAGCUUAGCAGAAAAUUUCCCUUAUUCGGUGAAUGUAAGAAAAUUAUUUGGGGCAGAAAAUUAUCUCAAAGGAGGUGUUGAAAAUAUAAGUGGAUUGUUGUCUAUGAAUGGAUGACUACCAGGUUGAGAUCUAGCCAGAUCUAAGAUACUGAAAACUGGAUGGAAGAAGAUGUAGAUUAUUCAGAAUGGAUAUGACCGACUAUUCUGUGGAAGAAUAAAUUCGUGAUUUUGAAUUUUGGAAAUCCUUUACAAUUGGACUUGACACCUGUGUGUGUCAUCCGGACUUGAGAGAAAGACUUAAAAUUGAUUCAACUUCAAAGAUCACUAUUUUUAAUCAAGGGAAAAGAGAUUUGUUAAAAUAGUCAGAAGUGGACCAAUAAUAGAGUUUCUUUGUUAAUUGAUUAGGUUCAAAUUUUUUGGGUGAUUCCUGACAAGCCUUCUGGAAAAGGUUUGAUUACUUGUAUACAUUACUUCUUGAGUUUACCCUCGUUCCACUAACUGAUCUGGUCCUUCUUGUCGUCAUUUACUUGGAAAUUAUCAUUCAAAUUCAUAAGAUUUGGACAAAUCCGACUUAGACAAAAUGACUUUUUAAGGUUGGAGAGCCUUGGAUUCCACCAUUUCUAAGAACCAGUGAACUAGAAUCUUCUCACUUGAAAAUUGCUUCCAUCUAGGACCUAAAACUCUGGAUCUCACUCUUAAUUUACGGAAGAGUCACCAUACUUCGUGUAAUAGAGUUAUCUCCUCCUCCAAGUUUUCUAAAAUCACUUCGAAGCCUACCGAAGAAAAGGAUGAAUGAGGUUGACAUAAUCGCUCUAACGGUCUUGGACUUCAAAGCUUAGUCGGUUUAACGAGUUUUUCGAAAUUUUCUCCUGCAAGAAUUCGUGGAUUACAGGUUCUAAAAUAGGUUAUAACGUUUGUUCUAACUCAUCUCUAGCUUUCCAUUGGUGCAAAUUUCAUAGAAAAAUGGUGAAGAAUGGAGUGAGAAAAUAAGGUUUUUUUUCGAAUCCCCAGAUCGAUUCCGCGCGACGACGUUCGACGUCGUCGGGAUUUAGGAAAAAGACGAUAGAUAGAAUUUCCGCGGCAUCAUCAAUCGGAAUUAUGACGAUGAUAUCGCGGGUGUCAGUUAAGAGUAACGGUUUUCAUUUGGGUUUAACGAAAUAUUCCUGACGCUGUUUGUAGAAUCCGUCAGGAUUCCCUGCGCGUGGCCGUGAGUAUUACCGUGCCUUGGCCGGCGCGUGCACGUACGGGGUCAGAAAAUUAUUUUAAAAAUUCCUGGGUGAUCAUGACGUUGUGUAGGUCACUAUGGUAUAUUCAUAUACCCAAUUUGAGCUAUGUAUGAGAAGUUAUUACAUGGUUUGGUAUAUGUGCAUUAAAGCGACGUUUAUAUAGUUGUUUCUCCUAUAGGCGAGACCUAUCUGGAGGAUGAGCGUAGCCAGGCUAGGCACGGGGGUUACGACCCAGCUACAUAUCAGUGAGUGGGCAGUUAUUUUCAGUAUAUAUAUAUAUAUAUAUAUAUAUAUAUAUAUAUACUUGAUAUUUUCCCAGAAAAAUGUGUUUAAAUGAUGAUAUGUCAUAAAUGCCAUGCAUAUGCAUUUAUAUUCCGAGUAUGAUUUGAUAUGUGGUGUUAUAUAUAUAUAUAUAUAUAUAUAUAUAUAUAUAUGUGGUGCUGUGGAGGUUCAGGUAAGCUCAGGUAAGUUAUGUUUGGUUAUGUGAAUUGUCGAUGAUGUGAUAUAUGAUUGAAUAAUGUUGAGCUCAUAAAACUGCACCUAGGGUGAUUAUGAUUUAGCCAGAGAUAUGAUACAGACCUGUUUAUUUAUGUCACCUCCCGCACUAUAUGCUUAUAUUGGAUCCAACUUAAGUGCACAGUCUUGUCGUACAAACCUUAUUUAUGGUUCCGACUCGUAGGUGACUAGCGAAUUAUCGCCCGGAUAUUAUGAGAAAGUAAAAUUGAGCAUAACUAUAUUACACCCAAUCUUGUCGUACAAACCUUUUUAGUGGUUCCGACUUAUGUGCAGUAUAUUGCCGUACAGGUCAUUGUAGUAACUCCGGCUAGAUUGACUUUGAGCUAUGAAUUCGGCCUCACAGACUACCACAGGAGUUCCGGCUAACAUAUCAUAUUUCUAUGAAUUUAUUCUUACAUGAAUUGCUUACUUUGUUAUAUCUUGGCAUGGCAUACAUAUGUUUAUGAUUAUGUUAAGCAUGAUUGAAAUGAUAUAAUUACAUAUAUUUAUUUAUGUAUAUUCUUAUAUCUUAAUUCUGGGAGAAACUAUACUUGUUUUACGGCGAGAGGUUAGUAUAUUUAAAGGAAAAUAAGGUUUUCAUGUAAAUGUGUUUUACUGACCCAUUCAACUUUAUUUUUCGCCCCUCCAGGUUUUGGUAGCCGAGUUUGGUGGCCACGAGGAAUCCAACGGUGUUCUGACAGAAUCCAAAAGAGUAGGAUUCACCUUUGGGUGUUAUAUUUUAGUAAUUAUCCUACUUGACUGCAACUAGAUGUUCUUAUUGCUCUGAAAGUGUAUUUAUACACUUAGACCCUCACUAGCAUCCUUUCUUAACGGGAAUUGCUAGUUGCUUGGUUUAAAUUGUUCGUUUUUCCUUAUUCUUUAUCGCUUCCGCUUUGCGCACAAGGCUACGUCAUACUCACGUGACGGUCAACACGUCUCGACUUCGGUCGGGGUGUGUCAACUAGUAUAUUUAUUUAUAAUACUUUAACCUAGAGCUAAUGAAGCUAUUGUUUAUGAGACUUGUUUAUUGAUUUUUUAGUAGAAAUUAUAUUUUUAUAUUGAAUAUAUGCAGCGAGAAAGAAGAGUUUAAACUGAAGACACAAUGAGUUAUAUUUUUGUGUGUUGGCUUAUGAUUUUAAAAAUCUUGUAACCAAAUGGAGCCAAAUUUGGCUAAGUGCGUGGUGGUUGAAGCUAGAUCACUGACGUUGAUCCACAAAAUUACUGAACUCCUAAAACGUGGAUGGCUUGAAGCUAGAUCACUGAAGUUGAUCCACAAAAUUACUGAACUCCUAAAACGUGGAUGGCACACUUGAGGUCUCAAUCCAUAUACGUGGCAUUCUAUAUGUAUAUGAAUACAUAAUAUAUAUUAACUUAUCGUAAUAGUACAUGCACGAUGCAUGAAUCUGUAAAAUUAUUGGGGUUGUCACCAGUGGCGAAGCCAGGAUUUCUUGGGGGAAGGGGCGAACUUAAAAGAAUGCAAGAUUAAAGAAAAAUGGCAACAACUAAAUCUUUUUAUAUAGUAAUGUCUUCCAUAAUUAAUCAAUACAAACAAAUUACAAUUGUUGCCGGCUAGGUUUCAUGUCAUGAAAACGUCGCAUAAUAGGCUCAUUAUCAAUAAAAGCAAAUACAUCUUUCUCAAUGUAAACAAGCAUGCUAUCACUCAACCAUUGAUCUUCCAUUUUGUUACGCAAUGGUGUUUUCACAAUCUUCAUAGCAGAAAAAGCUCUCUCCACCGAAGCGGUUGUAACCGGUAACACCAAAGCCAAUGUAAGAAGUUUAUACACUAACAUAUAACUUUCACACCUCCCAGUCUUCACUAACUCUUGUGCAAGAUCACUAAUUCCUCUCAAUGAUGAAAACUCACUAUGCAUCUUCAUAUCAUGAAUGUAAUUGUCAAGUUGAAUUGGAAGAUUCAUGAGGUCCAUACGAUCAAAAUCUUGAGAAUAAAGUUUGGCUAAAUGAACAAUUUUUGCUUUGUCAAAAGAUGCAAAAUUAUUCACCGGACUCAAACAAGCCAUACAAAGAAGUAACUCGGUGUUUACCUCAUUGAAGCGAUCAUUCAACUCCUUUAGUUGCAUAUCAAAAACUUGAAACUAGAGGUCCACACGAUAGUAAUGAAAGUUUGUGAUUUUUGGAGCUUUACGCCGUAAUUUUUGGAGAACUGCAACUAUACAGAUUAAAGUGAUGGGGUGAAGCAAAAACUAAUUUUCUAACUUUGACAUUCUUGCUCAUCAAGAUACCUGGAGAACAAUGGGUGUGUAGGAAUGUGUGUGAAUAUGUGCAAGUUUCCUACACAAGAUUUCUUCACCAAUGAAUUUGGACUUUCCUUAACCAUGAUUCCAAGUAUGUCUGAUUAUUUUGGUUAUAUUGUGCCCAAAAACUGGGAUUUAAGGCUGAAAUUCUUGUAUAAUUUGAUGCAACACAUUCCAAGUGGAUAGCACUUUCUGAAUUGGCUGCAGAUUUUGAAGAUAGGAGUUGUGAAUUGGUGUAUGGCAAAGUUCCACCGCCGUUUGAAGAGGACCCAGUCUCUAAAGAGCCAUGUUUUACUGAUAUAUGUAAGUUUGUACAACUUCUAUAUUUAUUUGAUCAAUGGAGAAUGGAGAUAUAUUAUCCUGAUUUCCACCAUGCGUUUAUCUGCAGGUUCCAUUGCAAAUCCCAGCUCCAGUGUUAGUCCCCCACCCCAAUAUAUAUAUAUUUUUUUAAAUUCAACUAUCAAAACGGCGCCGUUUUGAUUUAGCUUUUUAAAAUUUUUUUUACCAGGUCCAAAACGGCGUCGUUUUGGCCUGGUUUAAAAAAAAAAAAAAUUAGAAUGCAAUCUGCACUACAGAUUGCCCAGAAAAAACAGAGGGCUCUGCCUCUGCGUGACCGUUUUGGCCUGGUUUAAAAAAAAAUAAAAAAUUAGAAUGCAAUAUGCACUGCAGAUUGCCCAGAAAAAACAGAGGGCUCUGCCUCUGCGUGAACCAUUAUUUUCCGGCGAGGCGCGCGAGGGGAGUGGCGAAGACCUGGAGUCCAGUGGUGUUUCCCGGCGAGGGGAGUGGCGGCCGCCACUGGUUGUCACGUUUGAAUAGACUUAAAAAAUAACAAGAAACUUGUAUUUAUGCAUUCACGUGAAAAAUGUGACUUAUAUUUAUAUACAGUAUAGAUUUUUCAGUGUGUGGAAAACAAUCUGGUACAUAAAAAACUAUAAUAUAAGUGGUUAGAUAUUGAAACAAAUUUUUUUUAACAACUUGUAUUAUAAUACUUGAUAUAACGUGUUGUGUUUUUAGCACACUUAAUUUCUCCAAGUCUAGAAUGUAGCUUAAUUAAUUACUUGGUUGUUGUCCUAAUCAGAGGGGAAAGGAGAGCCAUUUCGAGUUGCAACUAGCUCUUAAUCUAAUUGCCUAUGAGAUUAGAGCCCCUACCAACCAGCAAGGGCCUUUUUCUUUGUACAAUGCUUGCUUAAAUGGUUAAAACUCUAAAUCAACAAUUCAUUAAAACUCAUUAAACUAAUAGAUGAAUUAAAUACUUAAAUCAAUUGAUAAUAUAGAGAGUAGAUUCAAAUAAUAUAUAGAGUGGAUUCAAAUAAGAAUACUCACGAGCACAGAUAUAGUUGACGGAGAAAAUUGUUAUGUAAUUUCUGAGUGAGUUUGAUUAUAUUUCCCAAAUCAUAAGCCAAACAAAAAAAAAAAAAAAACCUCACUACAUUUCUGAGUUCAAACUCUUCUAUCUCUUUUUAAUGUAUACAUUUAAUAUAAAAAUAUAAUUUAGAAUUAAAUGUAUAAAAAUACGAAAUGUUUACAAAAUGCUUGGAAAGAAAUUGAGAUAUGGUAUGCAGAUAACGUACAUACUUUAUUUUGGUAUUAGAAGAAAAAUUUAUAAAUUGGCCACUAAUAUUUACUCAUAAUACUUUAUCAUGGAGCUAAUGAAACUACUUGUAAGGUUUACUUAUUUUUCGUAUUUACUUUUUAGUAUAAAUCCUAAUUUUUUAUAUUAAAUGUGCACACGAAAGGGAGAUGAUAAUUUUUUUUUUUUGAACAAAUGAUAUUACCUACAUUAAAAUAAUGAGGGGGUGAAUUUAGCCUUACGACGGACUAGUAAUAAUGUGGUUUAACUUUUUCUUUGAUAAGAAUCGAACUUGAUACCUUUCAUUUAUAAGUGAAAAUAAAUAUUACUAGACCGAUAUUUGAAUUCGGGGUGAGUUAUUAUUUUUGUGUGUUUGGCUUAUGAUCUGAGAAAUCUAGUAUACCAAAUGGUGCCAAAUUUGGGUUGCGUGUUAGUUGAAGGCAGAUCAUUGAAGUUGAUCCACAAAAUUAUUAAACUCUUAAAAAUUGGAUGCCAUUGUUGAGGUCUCAAUCCCAUACACGUGGCAUUUCAUAUCCCCCAAAGAUUCUAUAUGUAAUUGAAUAUAUAAAAUACAUAAUAAUAAUAUAUAUAACCGGCAGUGGUUGCCUAAUGUUGCUUGUUCUCAUUCGAUAGUAGAAUGUGCACAAUACAUGAAUCUGUGAAAUCAUUCGGGUUGUCACGUUUGAAUACAUUUUAAACAAAACAAAAAAAAGAAAAAGAAGCUUGUUUGAAUGGGUUCACAUGAUUAGGGUGCGAUGGCAAAAGUUUCAGUUAGACAAAUGUUAAUAGAACGAGAUCAUUUAUGUAAUAAUUCAAUUAUUAAUUUUCAUGCUAUUUUGUUUACAAAUUUAAUUUUCUUAGUAUUUUUUCUUUCUCAAAAGUGAGCAUCUCUAUUAAUUUUCUGCCAUCGCAUAUUUUUAGUAAAAUAACUCCGCCUGUGUAAGUUUAUCUUACAUUGCCGAUCCUAAGCCCGGAUAAAGGAGAAGGGGGAGGGCGUCAGGUAGUCGACAUCCGGCACUCCUAGGUUACGUCGAAUCCUUAUGAAAAUGAAUCCAGAAGGAGUACGAGUAGCAUAUAUCCAAGCUAUAAAGGAUAUGUAUGAUGGAGUAAAGACUGCCGUAAGAACUCAUGAAGGACAAACCGAAAGCUUCCCCAUAACUGUAGGAUUACAUCAAGGCUCAUCCUUAAGUCCUUACCUCUUUGCGUUGGUAAUGGAUGAGUUAACAGGACAUAUUCAAGAUGAUAUUUCUUGGUGUAUGCUUUUCGCAGACGAUAUAGUGUUGAUAGAUGAAACUCAGGAAAGAGUAAAUGCGAAGCUUAACCUUUGGAGAUAAGUGUUGGAAUAUAAAGGUCUUCGCCUAAGCCGAUCAAAGACAGAAUAUAUGGAGUGUAAGUUCAGUGCAAAUGGAGGCCAAAAUGAGUUAGAGGUGAAAAUCGGAGAUCAGGAGAUACCAAAGAGCGACUGCUUUCGCUACCUAGGAUCUAUCUUGCAAAAGAACGGAGAAUUAGAUGGAGAUCUAAACCAUAGAAUACAAGCUGGAUGGAUGAAGUGGAAGAGUGCAUCCGGCGUGUUGUGUAACCGUCGUAUGCCACUUAAGCUCAAGGGAAAAUUUUAUAGGACGACAAUAAGGUCGGCGAUGCUGUAUGGCACAGAAUGUUGGGCGGUAAAGCAUCAACACAUAUAUAAAAUGGGUGUAGCGGAGAUGAGGAUGCUUCGUUGGAUGUGUGGGCACACGAGAAAGGAUAAGAUUAGGAAUGAGGAUAUCCGAGGUAAAGUAGGAGUAGCCGAAAUUGAAGGAAAACUGAGAGAAAAUUGGUUACGAUGGUUUUGACAUAUGCAAAGAAUGUCUACUGAUGCUCCGGUUAGAAGAUGUGACUACAGAACAGAGGUUUAAGGCCGAAGGGGUAGAGGAAGACCUAGGAAAACUUUGGAAGAGACUCUAAGAAAAGACUUAGAGUACUUGGAUCUAACGGAGGACAUGACACGGGACCGAGUGUAAUGGCGUUCUAGUAUUCAUAUAGCCGACCCCACUUAGUGGGAAAAUAAUUUGUUGUUGUUGUUGUUGUUUGCAUAUUUUUAGUAAAAUAUUUUCUAAUAUUGGUACAUAAAUUAACGUUAAAUUGUAAGAUGACAGAAAAUUCAUAUAGCAUCCCAAGUUAUAAGAUUCUUCUUAGCAUUUAUCUUGUAGUUUAACUAACUUUGAUUGUUGCCCUAGUUAGAGGGGAAAGAGAGCCAUUUCGAGUCGCAAUCUAGCGCUUAAUCUAAUUGCCUAGAAGAUUAGACCACCUACCAACUAGGUACAUGCCCUUUUCUUUGGUCAAGACUCAAAACGAGAACUAGUACAAUGCUUGCUUAAAUUAGUAAACUCAAGUAAAAAAUUCAAUGAAACUAAUAGAUUUAUUAAA
rnacentral:lncRNA from 1 species